AUUUCUGUGAUUCCUGCGAUUUCUGCGACUUACCACUGUAUGAAAAAGUUACAUCUGUCAACACAGAAAAUUGCAUCUCAACAAACCUGUCAUUGGCAAGUACCUGAACUACAUUUCAGUCACUCAGUAAAGUGAUAACUCAAAAUAUCAUUGUCAACAGAUCUGAAGAAAUUGCCACUGCGUCUUUAGACCGUUUUCGUCAGACGAGAGACACAGUUCUGACUCUGAUUACUGGGUGCUGUACGUAUCUAUCCACAUCAAGGCUGUUUUUGAGAGAGACUCGUGAAGAUUCAAGACAGUUCUUAGAGGAUUUGCAGUAUAAAAGUGAAAUAAUUGUGAAAUAAGUGUGUGAAUGAUUAAACUGUGUUUUAUUGAAGUUGUUGUGCGAUUU